rnacentral:tRNA from 1 species
CUGUGGAUAGCUCAGUUGGUAGAGCAUGAGCUCUUAAUCUCAGGGUUGUGGGUUUGAGCCCCAUGUUUCAGUUGCAGA